rnacentral:tRNA from 1 species
AGGAUUAUAUUUAAUUAUAAUGUUUGAAUUGCAAUCAGAAGGUACCCGUAGGGUUAAUCUUU